AAAACCUUGAUGUACUCCUUUCCCAAUUUGGAACCAGUCCGUUGUUCCAUGUCCAGUUCUAACUCUUGCUUCUUAACCUGCAUACAGGUUUCUAAGGAGGCAGGUAAGGUGGUCUGGUAUGUUGCAGCAAGGGUGAUGUUAAAUCUGAAUAUAAUGGAAACUCACUAGUCUUCACAUGAAUGGGUUUCAAUUUGGGUGGUGUCUGAAAUUGUAGUUUGAAGACUAACUGUAUCACCAUCGUUCUUAGACAUGUGCUUUCUCAGACUCCCAGACUCCACCUUUGACCCACUGAAUGAAAUUGCAGCAUUGGGACCCAGUCAUCUAUGUCCUAACAAACACUGGACUUGACUCUCGUGAAGAACAAAGUUUGACAAUCAUUGGGACAGGAUAUCAGUCGUUGAAACCCACUCUAAUAUCUUGGUUGAAAUAAGAUUUGAGGACAGUGGAAAGAAGAAGAGUCUUCCAAGGCAGCAAUCAAAAAUGGAUGGGAAGUCUAUGACUGUGAGCAACAUGAGAAAGGCUUCAGUGAACACACUAACCUUAUGAUACACAGGAAUAUUCAGAAUGGAGGGAACACUUAAAAGCAUAAUGAGUGCGGAAGAAGCUUCCUACCUCCACAGAAGAAAAACUCUACUGUUGUGAAACAUUCUGUUUAAUUAGUGUGGAAAAGCCAUCAGUCCGACUGAAUGCUGUAGAUGGGAGAACCAGCAUGGGAGAGAAAGCUGGAAGCCUCUGGGCAUCAGCUUUCUCUUCAGGCACAAAUGGUAACUCAGAAUGGGGAAAAACUGAAUAGAAGUAACAUGGGAAAGCUUCUGUUCACUUCACAAGCUAUGAUGUACAUGUACGAAAUCACACCUCAAACUACUUAUGAAUGUAAGGAGUGUGGGAAAGUAUCGUACAUCCCUUAAAAUUCAUAUGGGAAUUCACACUGGAGAGAAACUCAUGUUAAUGUAAAGAAUAUGGGAAAGCCUUCAUUAUACCUUCUAAACUUAAUCGGUAUAUAAAAAUUUCAUACUGGAGACAAGCACUUUAUAAGUAAGAAAUUUAGGAAAGCUUUCAUUAGAGCUUAUAAGUAGGUUUGAUGCAUGAUACAGGAUGCUUGGGGCUGGUG